GUGGAUAUCAACAGGAGGGGAGCGGAGCGGGCGGCCUUUCAGGCCACGGUGCGCCCACCGCCCCGGCCGCGCCGAGCGACCUUUCCCGGCGGCCUGGGAACGCUGCCUUCGCCAUUUCAUCUUCAUCAUCGUUAGCUUAGACAUUUGCUUUUCAUAAGCUUUUGUAGAUUGCCAAAGGUGUUUCAAAAUCUUGUCUAGGAUCUCCGAUCUGUGUUUCUGAGUGUGAAUUUCUUUUUGUAAUUUGCCAUCUCUUUCACCUGAGCCACACCCUACACCCGCUAUCCCUUCUCUCCCGCCCAAAAAUAAGGCCCCAUAGGAGCUGCCCCUAUUCCAGUGAAAUAAGCUUCAGCUGCAGUUGCUAAAAGAUCCUGACUCUCCCCAGCCAUUGAAAUCCCCGCCAGCUGAGACAGAGCAGGGAAGAUUAGCCCUGAGCUAACAUCCACUGUCAAUCCUCCUCUUUUUGCUGAGGAAGACUGGCCCUGAGCUAACAUCUGUGCCCAUCUUCCUGUACUUUAUACGUGGGAUGCCUAUCCACAGCAUGGCUUGCCAAGCGGUGCCAUAUCCACACCCGGGAUCUGAACUGGCGAACCCCGGGCCGCUGAAGCAGAACGUGCGCACUUAACCACUGCACCACCGGGCCAGCCCCACUUAACCAACUCAUGAUGUUACCUUCUGUCAUAGGCUGAAUAAUGGUUCCCCAAACAUAUCCAUGUUCUAAACCCCAGAACCCGUGAAUAUGUUGCCUUAUAUUGCAAAAAGGACUUUGCAGAUGGGAUUAAAUUAAGGAUCCUGAGGUGAGGAAGUUACCCUGGGUUAUCUGUUUGGCCUGAUGUGAUCACAAGGGUCCUUAAAAGAGGGACUCAGGAGAAGUCACAGGCAGAGAAGGUGCUGUGAUGACAGGAGCAGACCCGGAGUGAUGAGCUUUGGCUGUGGAGGAAGGAGCCACAAGUCAAGAAAUCCAGGUGGCUGCUAGAAGCCGAGAAAAGCAGGAAACACGUUCUCCCUCAGAGCCUCCAGAAGCGACCAGCCCUGCCAACACCUUGACUUGAGCUUAGUGAGAUGGAGUUUGGACUUCUGACCUCCAGAACUAUUAGAGAAUAGAUUUGUGUUGUUUUAAGCAAUUGUAUUUGUGGUAAUUUGUUACAGUGGCAACAGGAAAUGAAUGUACCUUCCUUGUAAAGGAAUGUGACGUAGUGUAUCUCCUGUGUUCUUAGAGAGGGUGAUUUAAUCUGAUUGGUAAAUUCUGGAAUACUAAACUGAGCCUGAGUGGCUUGGGUUCAUUCUAAC
rnacentral:lncRNA from 1 species